AGUGAACGCUGGCGGUAGGCCUAACACAUGCAAGUCGAACGGCAGCACAGUAAGAGCUUGCUCUUACGGGUGACGAGUGGCGGACGGGUGAGGAAUACAUCGGAAUCUACUUUUUCGUGGGGGAUAACGUAGGGAAACUUACGCUAAUACCGCAUACGACCUACGGGUGGAAGCAGGGGAUCUUCGGACCUUGCGCGAUUGAAUGAGCCGAUGUCGGAUUAGCUAGUUGGCGGGGUAAAGGCCCACCAAGGCGACGAUCCGUAGCUGGUCUGAGAGGAUGAUCAGCCACACUGGAACUGAGACACGGUCCAGACUCCUACGGGAGGCAGCAGUGGGGAAUAUUGGACAAUGGGCGCAAGCCUGAUCCAGCCAUACCGCGUGGGUGAAGAAGGCCUUCGGGUUGUAAAGCCCUUUUGUUGGGAAAGAAAAGCAGCAGGUUAAUACCCCGCUGUUCUGACGGUACCCAAAGAAUAAGCACCGGCUAACUUCGUG
rnacentral:rRNA from 1 species